AUUCCAGCUCCAAUAGCGUAUAUUAAUGUUGUUGCAGUUAAAAAGCUCGUAGUCGGAUUUCAAUGCGGGUUGACCGGUCUGCCGAUUGGUAUGCACUGGCCGAGCCGUAUUUCCUCCCGGAGACCUCGUCUACUCUUAACUGAGGCGGACGGGGGAAACGGGAUUUUUACUUUGAGGAAAUCAGAGUGUUCAAAGCAGGCUUUUGUAUGUAUGUGUUAGCAUGGGAUAAUAAAAUAGGACUUGGGUGCUAUUUUGUUGGUUUCGAACACCUAAGUAAUGAUUAAUAGGGAUAGUCAGGGGCACUCGUAUUCCACCGAGAGAGGUGAAAUUCUUAGACCAGUGGAAGACGAACUUCUGCGAAAGCAUUUGCCAGGGAUGUUUUCAUUG
rnacentral:rRNA from 1 species